rnacentral:rRNA from 1 species
AGCUCUUCGAGUGGUGUGGAUGUUUAUUGGGCCUAAAGCAUCCGUAGCUGGCUAAGUUAGUCCCCUGUUAAAUCCACCGAAUUAAUCGUUGGAUUGCGGGGGAUACUGCUUGGCUAGGGGACGAGAGAGGCAGACGGUAUUUCCGGGGUAGGGGUGAAAUCCUAUAAUCCCGGGAAGACCACCAGUGGCGAAGGCUGUCUGCUAGAACGCGCCCGACGGUGAGGGAUGAAAGCUGGGGGAGCGAACCG